CCUUGUUGAGUAUUUAGAACUUUCAGAUAUUUAUGAGUUUGUAAAAAUUAAACUUUUUAAGUUAGAUGAAUACAUGUUGUUUUUUAAUUUGCACUAACUGUCUCUUUAAUGUACUCCAACUUAAAAUCCCUCAGUUUAGAGAUUUUGCGUCUGACGUCAUCCGUGUUCACGUAAGCUGCUCGCGUUGAGUUCUUCUCCUCAAGAUGACGGAUCGGUCGCUUCAUGGGGUGCUGUAAGUCUCACCUUUAAACUCAAUGUAUCAAUUCUAAAGGCCAUUAUGUUUACUUUUCAUGUACGUAAUUGUGUUUAACAGUUAGAUGUGAUGCAAAUAUGAUAUUUUUAGAUGCGUUGUCACGUUGUUGCUGUCUUUUGUGAGUAAUGCCAUAUUUGGCUAGGGAAUGUAGUGACUGCAGUACUGGAAGAUUCCAGUAGGGGGCGUGGACAGGUGACUAGGGUCAAGCACACGUUCCUGUAGUAUCAUCAUAGAACAAUACACUGAUCGAGGGAAACUCAGCGUGUUUGUUUGUCUCUAAUACCUGUUCCCUUAUUGCAGAUUUCAAAUAAGAUGAUAGACUGGGAGUGCAGGGUGUAAAAAGUUGAAUCGUUCAAGACUCCACCUCCUCAGACACCACAGACUAGAACAUAGACACUGCUCAAAAAUAAGUCCACUUCCAUCUUCUGAAGAUUCUGAAGUGCACAUUGAGAAAGAGCCACUGGAGCAAUAUACGGUUGUGCGUUACAGCUCUAAUGGCCAAAUGCAUAGUGACCCAGUGAAUGUCUCUGUUGUUCUUGAGGACGAAUUGGUCACCACCCACAACCAACUUCCAGAAGCCUUUCUUGUCCUGUUUGGAUUCCUGUAUGCUUUUCACAUACAUAUUCCUAAAGGACUUGCAAAAACAUUUGUAUUUGUGCAAAAAACUUUUGCUUGGCAUGGAAGAUGGGAAACUGUCUCCUAGCCUGCAAACCUUAAAGAAUGAGUUGAUGUGAAGCAUAACUUGUACUACCUCAGCACACACAAAAGACAAAAAGAGUUACUUAAAUGUUAUCUAACUGAUGUUACUGUGAUUUGAAUUUUUUACUUGUAUCUACUUAGUUCUUAUUGACAAGUUAUGGUAUUAACAAACCGGUUCAGUUUAAGAAAUUGUCAUGUUUAAUGCAACUGUGUGGUGUUAAUAUAUGAAGUUGGCUGUUAAGCAUUCCUUGCUCAUUUCUCAUUUUUAUAAAAUGCUGUUAAACAGUUUGAGCCUGUUAAAAGGUAUGUUGUGUUGCUAAGAGAAUUUAAUUUUUGAAUGGAAAAUAUUAAAGAGCACCAAUUAUGCUAAUAAAUUGGCACGUUAGCACGUUAUUGUAAUAUCCCAUAGUACAUACAUGUUAUUAAAACUUGAACUAAUGCACUGUGAGUCUUAUAAAUUGCUUACAUACCUCACCGAUUUCUGCAUGUCUGGAAAACGCUCGGAUUUAGUUCCUGUCUCCGCCUCCCAAAAUGUCUAGUGUAUUCGGAUUGGUCAGAUGACUACUCAACUGUUAUUGGUCAACUGGGUUCGGCGUGUGUUUGAAAGGUUACGCCCCUGACUACGCGUGGGUUUUCCGGUUCUGACUGAGAGUCACAGGCAACGUAAACAAGUGCUAUAUUUCUCUAUAAACGAUGGUGUCUGUACUGCCUUACCACUUCGAGCUCGAUCCAGAGAGUUCAGACGGCCGUUACGAUGUAAACGAUCUCCGUCAAUGAACGCGAUUGGAUUUAACUUUUUUAGGUGUCCUUAGCUCUGCCAGAAUGCUAAACGAAGACGAAAAUGUGUUGCAAAGACAUCCAAAAGGUAAUUAUAACGUACUACAUUACUUUGCAAACUAUAUGGAAACACCAAAUGUAGCACAUAGAAAGUAUUUUUUGAAAUGAUUAUAAAACUAUUUCACUUAUUAACAUUAUUUUACUAUAGUAAACUUUAUUAUAAAAGCCUGCUUACAUACUAUAUUACUGUGCAAACUAUAUGGAAACACCAAAUGUAGCACAUAGAAAGUAUUUGUUGAAAUGAUUAUAAAACUAUUUCAUUUGUUAACAUUAUUUUACUAUAGUAAACUUUAUUAUAAAAGACUGUUACAUACUAUAUCACUGUGCAAACUAUAUGGAAACACCAAAUGUAGCACAAAGAAAGUAUUAAUGGAAAUGAAUGUUCUACAUUAUUUCACUAUGGUAAACUUUUUUAUGAAAGACUGCUUACUUAUAAGUGCUAUGUUUUUACUUAUUAGGUUUUAAGGAGAAUGCAACAUGUUCCAGGGCCUCUUACCUGCGUGAUUCAUCAUCCAGGUUUUGCACAAAUUGUCUAAAUCCCUACACACAGAACAUUUAUUGUACCGACUAUAAGCCUUUGAGGUGCAGGACUAGAAUACGCUUGGAGCUUCCUGAUCAGAUCGGUCACAAUUUUGGCUUUCGACGACCCCUGCACUGAAGAUGGCAUCCAAUCACGUCCUCCUUUGAAGGUCUCUCAAACUGUGAUGCCAGGUCCAUUGGAAUCGGGGUUUCC